CAAUAUAUUAAAAAAACACACUGAAGUAGGCGGGACUGUAAAUUGUGACAGUUAGAUAUUCUAUGCAUUGAGACGUGGGCCAUUUAUGCUUUGGGAACUACUUUAUUUUGUAUGGGAAGAAAGCCAGGUAUUUUUGUAAACGGAAAGUAACAUUCUUGAAAUAGAACAGUGUUAACCUUUUUACUUUUUCAGGAGAGAUAAAUUGGGGUCCUGCAUUCACACUGGAACUACACAAUGUACUACUGCUAGGUACUGGAACCACUGACUUGCCUUUUUCUCUAGGUAUCCUCCUCUUAAACCAACAGCCCUUGUAUGCUGCUACCCACCGCUCCAUGUGCUUUUUGGCAAUUAGGGAAUAUGGACUGUAUAGACUAUUUGCUCCGUCAAGUGAAGUUAUUACUGAACAGGACAAGUUCAGGGAACUUUGUGGACUGAAAAGAAGAAGAAGAAAAAAAAUCAAGAUCCCAAAGGGGUAACAUGUCUAAUGUCCAUAUAACUGAAAUGAAAACCAUUGGGUGUUGUGCCUUUGUAUGAGUGUUGGAGUGGUGUUAGGUCUAAUCACCAUCCAGAGUGUGGGUAGUGUUGGUAAAGUGGGGGUAUAGCUUUAAAACACCGAAGUGCAUUAUGGGUAACGUAGUAAGUUCACUUUGGUUUUGGAUGCAUUAUGGGUAACGUAGUAAGUUCACUUCGGUUUUGGAUGCAAUUGUGUGUGAUAUGGAUAUAGCCCGAACUGUGAGCCCACUAUAUUAUUUUGUCUUUUGGACUACCUCAAAUGAUGGAAAAAUGUUAAUAAAAGUUAACUACUUCAGUGGAAUUCCAGACUAACUUGUCAUUAGCAGCGGAUAAGAUCCCCAGAUGUGACAAUUACCCCAGAACAUCUGUAAAUUGCUCUGGCCCUGGAGCUAGCAAGUGAAGGCUCCCCUGAGCCGUCCCGACUACGGUCUGGAGGAACAGCAGGAAAGGUAACGCAGGUCUUCCUGUGAAGAGCCAGGUCAAUAUUGUGUACUGCAGGCUGAGGAAGCUGAAGGCCCACGGCUUGGAGAGCGCUAGGGAAGGGGCUGUGUUCUGGCCUAACCACUGGAGAGUCAAGCUGUGCACCUGCGUCAGUUGCAAGGUCAUCACAGCAGAAGCCAUCCACCAAUUCUUUGGGGAGCUGAUGAAGAGGCGACAGAUGAACAGCUGAUGUCAUUCUGCCCCACGGUGUCCUGUUGUUUACUUGUGAAAUGUUGUAAUGUUACUUUGGGUUCAUAGCAAAACAGUUCUGUCCACCAAACACCUUCUGCUUUAAAUAACAGUGCUGCUAUAAAAUAUGCUGUUACUGAGGUUUAUGAAGUUGAAAGUUUUGCCAAAAAAGUUGUUCUCGAAUGGUUCUCCAUGGAUUUCAAAUGGCGUUCCAUGUCUUAUGAGAAGCUGAAGUACCAUGCAAGUAGCAUUCUGUUAGCAGGCUUGGAGAGAUGCUGAUGGAAUCUAGUCAUUUUAGUCAUGGACUUACUGUUAUUUGGUCAAUUAUGUCCAAGUUGUCAUUAGAAUUUCAUAAUGUGACACCUGAUGAGGAUGCACUGCCAUUCAUAUUGAAACAGAUCCAGUAUGUGUCCAUUUAAUGUUGUCACUAGCAUUCCUGUUAAUUAAACAUUUGAAUAGUUCAUCCAG